rnacentral:rRNA from 1 species
GCACAAGCGGUGGAGCAUGUGGUUUAAUUCGAUGCAACGCGAAGAACCUUACCUACUCUUGACAUCCAGAGAACUUAGCAGAGCUGCUUUGGUGCCUUCGGGAACUCUGAGACAGGUGCUGCAUGGCUGUCGUCAGCUCGUGUUGUGAAAUGUUGGGUUAAGUCCCGCAACGAGCGCAACCCUUAUCCUUUGUUGCCAGCGGUCCGGCCGGGAACUCAAAGGAGACUGCCAGUGAUAAACUGGAGGAAGGUGGGGAUGACGUCAAGUCAUCAUGGCCCUUACGAGUAGGGCUACACACGUGCUACAAUGGCGCAUACAAAGAGAAGCGACCUCGCGAGAGCAAGCGGACCUCAUAAAGUGCGUCGUAGUCCGGAUUGGAGUCUGCAACUCGACUCCAUGAAGUCGGAAUCGCAUAGUAAUCGUAGAUCAGAAUGCUACGGUGAAUACGUUCCCGGGC